GGGGCUGAUUCUGGAUUCGACGGGAUUUGCGAAACCCAAGGUGCAUGCCGAGGGGCGGUUGGCCUCGUAAAAAGCCGCAAAAAAUAGUCGCAAACGACGAAAACUACGCUUUAGCAGCUUAAUAACCUGCUUAAAGCCCUCUCUCCCUAGCCUCCGCUCUUAGGACGGGGAUCAAGAGAGGUCAAACCCAAAAGAGAUCGCGUGGAAGCCCUGCCUGGGGUUGAAGCGUUAAAACUUAAUCAGGCUAGUUUGUUAGUGGCGUGUCCGUCCGCAGCUGGCAAGCGAAUGUAAAGACUGACUAAGCAUGUAGUACCGAGGAUGUAGGAAUUUCGGACGCGGGUUCAACUCCCGCCAGCUCCACCA
rnacentral:tmRNA from 1 species